rnacentral:lncRNA from 1 species
CUCGAGGCAAAUCAUGUCCCCACUUUUUUAAUGCGCAUGCGCGACCCUCUGGCAAGUGUCAUGCACAUUUUUUAUCAGGAAAAAGAUAGGGAAAUGCAAAAUUUUGGCAGUAAAACGGCGAUUUUAAGCGCAGUAAACGAUCUAUCUUCAUUUUGUGCACGAAUUUUGCAAAUAAAUGGCACACUGCGUCUUCUUAGCAAAAGGGAAUUGAACGAAUACCAUUUUUAACGGCGAAAAUGAGAAAAGACACCCGAAGGAGUGAGAAUUUCUGGCAAUCUGAAGAUUCGAUUCUGUAGACCUGAACUCCAGCUGGAACUUGGCAACUUUAUAUGUGAGUUUUUUUUCUCUAGCUCAUAUAUAUGAAAUUAUCAAUAUAUUUUUGUGAAGUGCUAUGUUGUAUGAAAGGGUUGUCGUUAAUUUAAACAUUGCAUAAACAGCAUUCAGAUACGAAAAAUAUGAACAUCAACAUUCAACAUGGACUGAUGGACUUGGACAUGGAGCCACAGUACUCUAAAGUUCUCAUAUAGACUCUAUUUAACUUAUAUGUUGACCCAAUGGUGAGGGAUUGGUCAAAUUAUACUUUAUAGUGAUUCCCCUAGACUAGUGCAUUGGUUAUUGUGCAAUGACAACCUUUUUUUUGGCUCUCAAAGGUCAAUAAUUUCUCAAACAUGCCAGGUCUGUACAUGUUUAAUAUUAAAUCUAAUCUGUUUAUUUUUUAUUUUGCUUUUCUAGAUUGCCAACCAUUCCUGUUGAACUACAUUGUUCAUUACAAUGAAUCAGAUGCAGAUUCUUACAACUAUGUUAAUUUGUUCUUCUGAUUGGGCAAAACCUGAGACUAUUUGAUCUUAUAUUGGAAUGCCUACCAAUUUUACAUAGCCUCAGGCAAUGUUUAUAUAAUUAAUCUUGAGUAAUAGAGAUGCUGUACCCCCUGACGGAGUGACCUUACUACCUGGAUCAUCCCACUAGGCAAGACAAGUUCAAAACUUUCCAUGCAAACACUUGCAUGGCAGUUGCUAUAAUAGGAUAUGAAUAUAGUUUUGCCUUGCCAGGGUGGCUCGGGGGGGGGGGGUAAGAUUUCCCUAGUACCCGGAGACCAUAUAGACAGGCCGUCGGAUUACUGUAAUAGUUUAAUUGAGGUUCAAAAAAGCAGCCCCCUCCCCCAAAGUGGUAGGCCUGCUCCCCAAAUCCAGCCCCCCUUGGAAGAUGUACUGUAAAGCUAGACAAUUUUACUUGUUAACCCAACUUUAUUAUUCUGUCUAACACUGGGCGAUCCAGUUAACCCAUUGAGUUGCAUUGCAUGUGCCCUGAUGCACCCUACUUUAUUAUUUUACUCUGUCUAACGCCAGACGAUUUUACUUGUCAAGGGGUGGGCACACUUUAACAGGCAAAGUAUUAUUUGGGAAUACUUUCUCUUUUAAUGGGAAACUCUUUAUCAAUAAAAGGAACAAUGCAAUUAUUCAUAGCAUUUAACUUUUCAUAUAAAGCAAAGACUGUAAGAGGAAACAUGGAUCAUUGGCUACUUUUUUUAUUUAGUAUUAAUUUUCAUGACAACAUGUGGGGUCAACUAUAAAGGAAACAGUUAUUGCCUAUUUUGGAAUAAUAAAAUUAGAAUAUAGCAAUAUUCAUUGACAUUGAACACAUAUUUAAUUUAUUUAGUUUUUGAAUAAUUUAAGUUCUUAAAUGUAUAUAAAUGUGAAAUAAAAUAAACAACAUUUAUUAAAAUAAACUUUGUAUUUUUAAACCCCAAUUACGUACACUGUUGUAUUUACAUUUCACUGUUGUAGUAUUUACACUGUCAGUAGUAAUUACACUGUAGUAUUUACAUUUCAAGACCUUAUAAACCAACAUCAUUCCUUGGAGUUUCAACCAAGAUCCUCUGGAGAACUUCUUUGGCCUCAUUAGGCAGCAGGGGGGGGGGAUUGUGACAACCAAUUAGUUCCAUCCAGUUCACCAGAGCAUUUUGCAUAUUAUUUGUAGAUAAUAUUUUGACACCACUUUCAAUUGGCACCUGUGCUGAAGAUUCUGAUGCUUAUUUGAUUGCAUUUCACCCUAGCCAAUCUGAUUUAUCUGCAGGAAAUGAUCAGACAAGCCCACCACUAAUCCAAGCAGUUGAAGAUACCGACUACAAAACAAAUGAAAUUGAACAAAACUUAGUCUGCAUGAACUUAUGUGUCAGGCUAUUUAUUAAGGAAGUGCCUUAUCCAACAUAGCUGUCCAAUAUGCCAUCAUAAUUUUGUGACAAAGGAUGUCAAUGACAGUAGUCUCUGCUAUUCUGCAUGUGAAAGACCUCUGACCUUUGAAGGCAUAAGCAUGCCUUCAAAUGCGGAUUAACAAUCCGUAAAGAAACGUUUCUUUGCUGGAGAAUAUAUUUGUGAAUGUGGUUAUUAGUUGCACAGAAAGUAUUAAAAACAUAGGUAGUUUAACUUUUAAUUUUUGCUCACAAAUCGCAAAGCUACAUGCAUGGAACCUGAUGGACGUGUUUCAAACCAGCACCUAUGAUUUCUUAUUAAUGUAAAAGACAGGAAAGCAAUACGUUUGGCCCGCAUUAAUUUAGCGAAAUGGGAAUCUGCUUC